CCCCGCCGCCGCGCCGCUCCCCCGGGCCGGGAAAGUGCGAGCUCCGCGCUCCAGCGCCCGCCGGCAGCGCCGCCCGCCCGCUCGCUCGUCCCACUCCAAACUUUUUUUUUUUAUUUGUCUUUUAAUUGGUUGUUAUUCCUCCGAGUGAAUGAUCUCUCUCUUCUUUCCUAAAAGCAAACACAAACUCCUUUGGUUCGGAAGAGGUCUCGGCGGUGCUUUUUGGUUUCUCUGGAGAUUUUUUCACUUCACAGCAACGAUCUUUUAAAAGGCACCUUUUAGCUUCUUUUACCACAUCUCAUUUCCUUAUUUUUCUUCCUUCCUGUUUUCUUGUCUUUUUUUUUUUUUAACCCCAAAUUGAAGGGGAUUAUAAAAAUAAAAGAGUGAAACGCUUGCGGCUUUUUUUUUUUUUUUGAUUCUCUCUCCUUUCAAACUCUGCGAACACCACCUCAAAAUAAUAUACAAGUGUGUGAGAGAGGGGGAAGAAAGCAGCCAACAGCCCAAACACCCGCUCAGAACAGCUCUAACAACACGCUCUGUGUAGGUGACUUCUUUGACCAAAUUUAGCAGCAGCUAAUCAUUAACAUUCUGAUACAUAUUCACAACCGUCCGUGGAGGGGCCGCGGAGCAUCCCGGGAGAUGUAGUCCACCCCAAGCGACCGCGGUCCAGGAUUCGGCCAGAUUGACUACAAUCACCGGCCCGCCACGCGACCGCUCUGGGGCGCUCUCCAAGCGCCCCGCCCACCCCCGCCGCGGGAGGCGUCUCCGGCAACCAAUCAGAGGUGGCUGCACAUUAAUCGCCGUUCUGUGUUACUGCCCAUCAUUUCACUGCUGACAAAUGGCGAGCCAGGGGGGCGGGGCCUGCCGGGCUGGAGCCCACGUGGGGGCCGGGCGUCGUCCGUGGUUCGGACCAAUGAACGGAACGGGAUGGGGUUAGCGGAGGCGGAGCGGAGAUGGCCCGCCCAAGGCGGAGCUUCGCCUUGGCUGACGUUCCUUAGCGCGAGCGUUCGAACCGGGGAAACAUUUGUUCAGCUGUCAAUCAAAGUUGGAGAACUCUGUGUGGACAGUUUUCUGAUCCUCCUCGGUCCCAUGUGCCCAGUCCAAAAUGAGACGUGCGAUCUACAUGACAAAGAGAAAGAUCUCCGAAAGAUGCAGAAGGAAGCAACCCCUCUCCCAGAACAACACAGAAACUUGGGGCCUGAACUCACCACCCAGAGGUCAAGAGUCACAUGUUCUCCCAGCUGAGCCAGCCGCGCACCCCUGUGCUUCUCUGUUUGCACUUUUCACAAAUUGCUAAGCCAAGCUGUGAAGUCAACCUUGGGACUUGUCUUAUCCCUACCACACAGUGGGGAGUUCCAGAAUUUUUAUGUGAGUGGGGCUCAGCAACAGCAGUCCUAGUGGAAGCUAGGCCUGGGGUUUCAAUCUUAAUGUGAUAUAUGCAAAGCAAGCACAUUAUUUUUUCUUAUAUGUUAUAAAUUAUGUAUUCUUCCACCAGGUAUUUAUUGAAAAAAAAUGUUUUGACCUAACAUGUGCCAAGAUAAGGGAAUUUAGCAAUAAAUUACUGUUUUUGAUUUAUUAUCUCUGAGCU
rnacentral:lncRNA from 1 species